rnacentral:rRNA from 1 species
CGAGCGUUAAUCGGAAUUACUGGGCGUAAAGCGCAUGCAGGUGGUUUGUUAAGUCAGAUGUGAAAGCCCGGGGCUCAACCUCGGAAUUGCAUUUGAAACUGGCAGACUAGAGUACUGUAGAGGGGGGGUAGAAUUUCAGGUGUAGCGGUGAAAUGCGUAGAGAUCUGAAGGAAUACCGGUGGCGAAGGCGGCCCCCUGGACAGAUACUGACACUCAGAUGCGAAAGCGUGGGGAGCAAACAGGAUUAGA